rnacentral:lncRNA from 1 species
CUCCUAAUUAUUAUUUUCAAAAUAAUACAUUAACAGUACAUACACAGCUACUAAGCCCCGCCUCUAGUUUUUCCCUCUCUGCCUGUCAGUCAAGCCUUAUUCCCGCCCCCUCUCUGGCUGCCUCUCAAUCAAACUACGCCCGCCCCUUCACUGCCUGCACGUCGCGCAAAAAAAAACAGCAGCGGCGGCCGUUGGGGGAAGAGAGUAAAUAGAGAGAGAAGCCUCAAGAUGGCUGACUUCGCUGUGCUCCGCUUACCUCACCGCAGCUGCUACUGCGGUAGCCCCGGCGGUCGCCCCCGCCAAAAUCCCGCUCGUCAAGCCGACCGAAGCGAAGGGAGCCCCUGACAGCCGCUCUCAGUCUUCCCGGGAUUUCAACCCGCCGCCGCCCAAGAAGGUCCGAGUGGAGGAGAGGAGCGGUAAACCCAAGAAACUCAGCAGGGAAGGAGGUGUGGGAGGCAACGGUAGCGGCAAAGAGAAACUCCAGCAGCCCACGAAGCUACAGAGUUAUGGCAGCAGUGCGGGCUUGUGGAGCUUCAGCCCGGUUAAGACGAGUAGCAACAACCCUCCGGUGCCUGCUACUGUUGGACACCAACCACCGACAAACACGCAUAAAGUCUUUAAACAGAGCGAUUUCUUCCUCCACAAAGCGCCUUCCUCCUCCAAACCCAAGAAACCGAGUAAAGAUAAACAGCGCGAGAAAGAGAGGGAGAAGGGGAAAGGAGGCGGAGAGGAGAAAAAGAAAACUAAACUAUUGGUGAGCUCCGGACCCGGGAAUAAUGUCAGUAACAACAACAACAACAACAACAACGAUAUCGGCAGAAUUAAUAACACUUCUGCAGUGAAAAGAGAAAAUGGGGAGGUCAUGCUGCCACCCAAAGAGCACUCCGACAAGGCAAAAGAGAGAGACCGAGAGGAGAGGGAGAAGAAGAAGGUCAAAGACAGAGAGAGAGAAAAGGAGAAGAAGAAGCACAAAGUGAUAAACGAGAUCAAGGGGGAGAACGGAGAAGUCAAGCAGCCGAUUAAAGGUGGGUGGAAACACGCACACACACACACACACACACACACAUUAAUGCAAACCUAGCGAUUUUAUAUAGGGCUGAAAUUUAGUUUUCUUUCAGUUAAUAGUAAAAA